AUGGGACCGGCGGGGCCAGAGGGAAGGAGCGGAGCUUAGGGCUAGAUCGACGCUCUGGGGCGUGGGCAAGGAGCACUCCUCUGUCCUGGACUGUUGCCGCAUGAAUGUGGCGCAGGUCGAGAAGACCCGCCUGAAGUCUUGUGGAUUGCAACGGAGGCUGCCAGCUUUGAGCUCCGGUUCUCGCAGAUGCUUGAGUUGUGUGACAAAAGUGUGACACCCACCCCAUCUUCCGGGUAUUCUGUGGGGUGAAUCCGCUCGCUCCCCAGAAUCUGUGAUGAGAAUCUGCUGCCUCCCUGCUCCACACCCAGGCGUGGACCUACUUCCUGGGUUCUGUGGACCUCACCCACUCCCAGUCUGAGUUCUGUAGGGAGGAUCCGCUUCCUGCCCUCCUGGUCUACUCCCCAUCUGGGUUCUAGGGCCUUCACAUUCUCCCAGCUUAACCUGUCACCUGCCUGAGCCCUGUGGGUGCGACUAACUCACUUCUGGUUCUGAGCUCCUGUAGUGCUGAGAGCUGAGGUGGCUGGCCUCAGGCCUGGUGCCACCACAUCUCCAGUGCAGAGCUCACUGCCUCAUUUCUACAGCUGCCGACUUUAUAGUCACCGCCUGGAAAGCUCUUCGGCUCCAAGACCCUCUGAUGCUAAGGUUGAAGAGUAUGAAGAAGCCAGGAAAAUGGUGGUGUUCUUGGUGCUCCCUAAGCUGCUGUCAGUCCAUCUGCCCCAAGUUUGCUGCAAGCUUUUGUUAUGUGCCAAAGGUGUCCAUUGGAAGGUGGAAGACAAGCAGAAGACACAAACAGAAGACAAUGAUUUCAUGAAACUAUCUUGUGCACAGCAAGAGAAACAACUAAAAGAAGUGAGAGCCUACAUAAUGGGAGAAACCCUUUGCUUGCUCGGUACCUGUCAUACGAUUGAUGUCUAGAAUAAACAGAGAGCUCACCAAAUGCCAGACAGCCCGUUCAAUAAACAGACCAAUAAAAUGAA